CCUACGGGUGGCAGCAGUAGGGAAUAUUGCACAAUGGACGAAAGCCUGAUGGAGCAACGCCGCGUGAGCGAAGAAGGUCUUCGGAUCGUAAAGCUCUGUCCGUGAUGAAGAAGGAAGUGACGGUACUCAAGGAGGUAGCCGCGGCUAACUACGUGCCAGCAGCCGCGUUAAUACGUGGGGGGAAAGCGUUAUCCGGAUUGAUGGGGCGAAAGGUGUACGUAGGUGGUUAUGUAAGCGCGUGGUGAAGGACAGUGGCUUACCCAUUGUAAGCCUUGCGAACUGCAAGACUUGAGUGCAGGAGAGGAAAGCGGAAUUCCAUGUGUAGCGGUGAAAUGCUUAGAUAUUAGGAGGAACACCAGUGGCGAAGGCGGCUCUCUGGUCUGUAACUGACACUGAGGUUCGAAAGCAUGGGUAGCAAACAGGAUUAGAUACCCUUGUAGUC
rnacentral:rRNA from 1 species